rnacentral:misc_RNA from 1 species
GGAAGUAAAAGUCGUAAUAAGGUUUCCGUAGGUGAACCUGCGGAAGGAUCAUUAUUGUAUAACCGAGGUGCGAGGGCUGUCGCUGACCCGAAAGGUCGUGCACGCCCGAGUGCCCUCACACACAUCCAUCUCACCCCUAUGUGCACCACCGCGUGGGUCCCCCUUUGGCUUGUUCGGAGGGGGGCUUACGUUUUCACACAAACUUUGUAUGCAGUGUAGAAUGUAUUUUUUGUUUUUGCGAUCACGCAAUCAGUACAACUUUCAACAACGGAUCUCUUGGCUCUC